rnacentral:rRNA from 1 species
AGUGAACGCUGGCGGUAGGCCUAACACAUGCAAGUCGAACGGCAGCACAGUAAGAGCUUGCUCUUACGGGUGGCGAGUGGCGGACGGGUGAGGAAUACAUCGGAAUCUACUUUUUCGUGGGGGAUAACGUAGGGAAACUUACGCUAAUACCGCAUACGACCUACGGGUGAAAGCAGGGGAUCUUCGGACCUUGCGCGAUUGAAUGAGCCGAUGUCGGAUUAGCUAGUUGGCGGGGUAAAGGCCCACCAAGGCGACGAUCCGGAGCUGGUCUGAGAGGAUGAUCAGCCGCACUGGAACUCAAACACGGUCCAUACUCCUACGGGAGGCAGCAGUGGGGACUAUUGGACAAUGGGCGCACGCCUGAUCCAGCCAUACCGCGUGGGUGAAGAAGGCCUUCGGGUUGUAAAGCCCUUUUGUUGGGAAAGAAAAGCAGCAGGUUAAUACCCCGCUGUUCUGACGGUACCCAAAGAAUAAGCACCGGCUAACUUCGUG